UCUCAAAAAGACCGUCCCAGUUCGGAUUGCAGGCUGCAACCCGCCUGCAUGAAGUUGGAAUCGCUAGUAAUCGCGGAUCAGCAUGCCGCGGUGAAUACGUUCCCGGGCCUUGUACACACCGCCCGUCACACCAUGAGAGUCGGGAACACCCGAAGUCCGUAGCUUAACCGCAAGGGAGGCGCGGCCGAAGGUGGGUUCGAUAAUUGGGGUGAAGUCGUAACAAGGUAUC
rnacentral:rRNA from 1 species